rnacentral:rRNA from 1 species
UACAGAGGUCCCAAGCGUUGUUCGGAUUCAUUGGGCGUAAAGGGUGCGUAGGCGGCGAGGCAAGUCUGAUGUGAAAUCCCGGGGCUCAACCCCGGAACUGCAUUGGAUACUGCCUUGCUUGAGUACUGGAGAGGGAACUGGAAUUUACGGUGUAGCAGUGAAAUGCGUAGAGAUCGUAAGGAAGGCCAGUGGCGAAGGCGAGUUCCUGGACAGUGACUGACGCUGAGGCACGAAGGCCAGGGGAGCAAACGGG